rnacentral:rRNA from 1 species
CCUACGGGAGGCAGCAGUGAGGAAUAUUGGUCAAUGGGCGCGAGCCUGAACCAGCCAAGUAGCGUGAAGGAUGACUGCCCUACGGGUUGUAAACUUCUUUUAUAAAGGAAUAAAGUGAGGCACGUGUGCCUUUUUGUAUGUACUUUAUGAAUAAGGAUCGGCUAACUCCGUGCCAGCAGCCGCGGUAAUACGGAGGAUCCGAGCGUUAUCCGGAUUUAUUGGGUUUAAAGGGAGCGUAGAUGGGUUGUUAAGUCAGUUGUGAAAGUUUGCGGCUCAACCGUAAAAUUGCAAUUGAUACUGGCAGUCUUGAGUGCAGGUGAGGUAGGCGGAAUGCGUGGUGUAGCGGUGAAAUGCUUAGAUAUCACGAAGAACUCCGAGUGCGAAGGCAGCGUACUAAACUGCCACUGACAUUGAUGCUCGAAAGUGUGGGUAUCAAACAGGAGUAGAUACCCUUGUAGUC